CAGAGACAAGUAACCAGACCUGACAGAGAUAAAUUGUGCAAAGGGGAGAAUUAUAGUGACCACCUAAGCAGCAAAAGGAGGCUUUAGAGGGGACACCUUCAGUGAGUAUAAGCACCCAAAGAUGUAGCCACAAGACAGGACCAUGGGACACCCCUUUGCAACCCUACUGGGAAAAAGAAACCAUCUGUGAAGUUCCUAUAUACCAACACAUGUGGUAUGUGGAACAAACAGAAGGAACAGAUCUGUUUGCAGUUACAGGGCUUUGACCUCACUUUUUUAUGGAGAUGUGGCGGGACAGCUCCCAUGACUGGAAUGUUGUCACAAAGGGCUACACAUCACUGAGGGGGGACAGACCAGGAACACACAGAGGUGGAUUUGACCUUUACAUGAGGCAACGCUUGGAGUGUGCUGAGCUCUGUCUCAGGGUGGGUGAUGAGCAAGAUGUGAACGUUGGAGGAGUCCUUGGCUGUAAUGACCAUGAGGUUGUGGAGAUCAGCACUGAGUGAGGAGGAAGGAGGUUAAUGAGAUUGUAACCGCGGAUUUCAGGAGAGCUAACUUUAGCCUCUUCGGGAAUCUUCUUGGAGUAAUCCCAUGGGAAAAGUCCUUCAUGGAAGAAAGGCCCAAGAGAUUUGGUUAAUAUUCAAAGAUCACUUCUUUCAGAAUCAAGAAGGAUUCAUCCUGAUGAGCAAGAAAUUGCAUAAAGGGGGCAAGAGACAUGGACGAAUAAAGAAUUCCUGCCAUUA